AUCCGAGAGAAAACUCCCAUAGUUAGAGAAAGGGGUCAUGAGCAAUCUCUCUAAUAACCACGUUUCCUUUUCACUAAGAGCACGGCUCUGACUCACCAAGUCGGGCGGACACCGCCGCUUUAAGGAGAUGAGGUUCCAGCGGUCGCGCCAAGAAGCGUACGCAGCCUACGUGUUUAAGUUAUGCUACCUUCGCCACAGAAACUAAGAAGGCUGUAAUGGCCUGCCAAGUCCCCACGCGUAAUUGUUCUCCACCACUUACCCACUCUGGUUCCGGAACACCGUUGUCGCCACCGUUCCGGUAAUACCUCUCCAAACCUUUCGAUGCUUCUACUUCUUCACGAACAAGACAAGAUGGCGCCCGAUUGGUUGCACCCGGAAGUGAAUAAUAAUAACAUCCGCUUGUCAUCUGAAGCCAUAUUGCCCCCCAUCCUGGUCUUUGAGCACGUGACUAUUCCCCCAUUUACUUGCCUCGAUGCCAUCUUUGUUUUGGGCAAAACCGCCGGGACUAAGUAGUCCCCAUCAUGCAAGUGUCUGAACAUUCCUGUAGGACACCUCUUAAUCGAAUCAUGCUGAAACCCAUUUUCAGUUUUACAAUGGUCAGAAGGCCAGGAGCUUAAGCGGUCAGUACAGAACGCCCUCAAAUUUAUUUAUUUAUUUAUUUAUUUAUUUAUUUAUUUAUUUAUUUAUUUAUUUAUUUAUUUUUACUUCAGCAACGUGAGCCUCCUUCAUAGGGGAAGUUAAGUUCCCCGCCAGGAGCAUUUUCGCUUCGGAAAAGGGGGCUGAAGUCGCGGCGCUACUUUCAGACUACGGAGGGGCGUCAGGGUCAAACCUAACCAACUCGGGCGAGUUGCUACGUAAAGCCCACAGCGGCGCGUUUCUGGUCGGGACUCGUGGAGCGCUGGGGUGUCAGGGAGCGUUGCUGACGGGCUCCGCCUCGGGGAGACCGGACGGGAGCGACUGCCGUAGACCUUCCCUGGACCCGCGGCGAUUGCUCUUUGUUAACCUCGGGACAUCGCGCCCCCUCCUGGCGACAUUUACUCGGCUCUACGUCACCCGGUCUCGAAAGGAUCUGUUUCCGGGCCAGGAGCUACAAGUCAUACAAGAAAACAAGAUCAUCACGGAGAUACAGUGUAUAUUUCUCAACAAAAUCUUGGAAAGUGCCUUCCUGGAGAGGAACGUGAAACUUUUGCGGAACUCAAGAGUAAACAGGGUUAUUUCACUGGGGAAGUGUGGAGGGGGAAAAAAAAGGCAAAUUACAGCAGAAUAAAAUGAAGUGCAUCUAGAUAGAUAUGGAUGUGAGGAUAUAGACGCCACUUGCAUGAAAUUCCGUCUUCCUUAAUAAAACCCUUGAAACCGAGAUAGCCCUGGAUGAGCAUGAGAAGAAAGUCCUAGCUGAAAAGACGUGCCGGUCCUCAAACCCAAGUGGCCUUUGCAAUAAAAAUUUAUCUUGGGAGAGACUCUUAGAGAUCACACACCUGGCAACACCAUGAUGGGAGUGCAUGAAUAUUAUUACUACGGGAAGCAAAAAAAGACUCAUUCUUUUAGCCCUUUUCCCUAAUUUUCACUUAGCACAGAAAAAGACUACCCAAGUAGUCUAAUAGAUUUUUAAAACCAAAAUUGUGGGGAAAAAAAAGACAUAUACCACA